rnacentral:rRNA from 1 species
GAUGAACGCUAGCGGCAGGCUUAAUACAUGCAAGUCGUGGGGCAGCGCAGUGUAGCAAUACAUGGCGGCGACCGGCAAACGGGUGCGGAACACGUACACAACCUUCCUACAAGUGGGAAUAGCCCAGAGAAAUUUGGAUUAAUACCCCGUAACAUAUAAAGAUGGCAUCAUUUUUAUAUUAUAGCUACGGCGCUUGUUGAUGGGUGUGCGGCUGAUUAGGUAGUUGGCGGGGUAAUGGCCCACCAAGCCUGCGAUCAGUAGCUGAUGUGAGAGCAUGAUCAGCCACACGGGCACUGAGACACGGGCCCGACUCCUACGGGAGGCAGCAGUAAGGAAUAUUGGACAAUGGGCGCAAGCCUGAUCCAGCCAUGCCGCGUGAAGGAUU